rnacentral:rRNA from 1 species
GAUGAACGCUAGCGGCAGGCCUAACACAUACAAGUCGAGGGGUAACUAGAGUGAUAGCAAUAUUACUUUGGCUAGACCGGCGCACGGGUGCGUAACACGUAUGCAACCUACCUUAUACUGGGGAAUAACUUCGAGAAAUCGGCGCUAAUACCCCAUAACACUGCGGAGAGGCAUCUCUUUGCAGUUAAAGCUCCGGCGGUAUAAGAUGGGCGUGCGUCCAAUUAGCUAGUUGGUGAGGUAACGGCUCACCAAGGCUACGAUUGGUAGGGGUUCAGCGAGGAGGAUCCCCCACACUGGUACUGAGACACGGACCCGACUCCUACGGGAGGCAGCAGUGAGGAGUAUUGCGCAAUGGACGAAAGUCUGACGCAGCCAUGCCGCGUGCAGGAUGACGGCCCUAUGGGUUGUAACUGCUUUUGUACGGGAAUAAACCCUUCUACGUGUAGGAGGCUGAAGGUACCGUAAGAUUAAGCACCGGCUAACUCCGUGCCAGCCGCCGCAGUAA